UGCGUAGGCGGAUAAAUAAGUCAGAGGUGAAAGCUCUCAGCUUAACUGAGGAACUGCCUUUGAUACUGUUUAUCUUGAAUUAUGUUGAGGUUAGCGGAAUGUGACAUGUAGCGGUGAAAUGCAUAGAUAUGUCAUAGAACACCAAUUGCGAAGGCAGCUAGCUAGGCAUAUAUUGACGCUGAGGCACGAAAGCGUGGGGAGCGAACAGGAUUAGAUACCCUGGUAGUCC
rnacentral:rRNA from 1 species